rnacentral:lncRNA from 1 species
CCCGGGGUGCGCGGAGGGCGCGUCUCUGACGGAAGCCGGGGCGGACGGUCGGAGUCCGGAAGAAAAACAGUCCGCGACAGCUAGGCGCGUGAGACCGGCCGCCCGCAGGGCUGCUCUGGCCGGGACCCGCUGGCCGGGAGACGCGAACCUGCCGGACCACCGCGCGGGGACGACGGCGGCCAUGAGCUCGCGGAAGCUGAGCGGGCCGAAAGGCAGGAGGCUCAGCAUACACGUCGUGACUUGGAACGUGGCUUCGGCAGCGCCCCCUCUAGAUCUCAGUGACCUGCUUCAGCUGAACAACCGGAACCUCAAUCUUGACAUAUAUGUUAUUGGGAAUUGAACUCUGGGAUCAUAAGCCUCCUUUCCGAUGCUGCCUUUAAUGACUCGUGGAGCAGUUUCCUCAUGGAUGUGCUUUCCCCUCUGAGCUUCAUCAAGGUCUCCCAUGUCCGUAUGCAGGGGAUCCUCUUACUGGUCUUUGCCAAGUAUCAGCAUUUGCCCUAUAUCCAGAUUCUGUCUACUAAAUCCACCCCCACUGGCCUGUUUGGGUACUGGGGGAACAAAGGUG